CAGCCGCGGUAAUACGUAGGGCGCAAGCGUUGUCCGGAAUUAUUGGGCGUAAAGAGCUCGUAGGCGGCCAGUUGCGUCUGCUGUGAAAUCCCGGGGCUCAACCCCGGGCGUGCAGUGGAUACGGGCUGGCUGGAGGCAGGCAGGGGAGAACGGAAUUCCCGGUGUAGCGGUGAAAUGCGCAGAUAUCGGGAGGAACACCGGUGGCGAAGGCGGUUCUCUGGGCCUGUACUGACGCUGAGGAGCGAAAGCGUGGGGAGCGAACAGGAUUAGAUACCCUGGUAGUCCACGCCGUAAACGUUGGGCGCUAGGUGUGGGUCCCUUCCACGGGGUCUGUGCCGCAGCUAACGCAUUAA
rnacentral:rRNA from 1 species